rnacentral:rRNA from 1 species
UGAUUAUGACGUGCUUGCACUGAAUGAGAUUUUAACACGAAGUGAGUGGCGGACGGGUGAGUAACACGUGGGUAACCUGCCCAGAAGCAGGGGAUAACACCUGGAAACAGAUGCUAAUACCGUAUAACAGAGAAAACCGCCUGGUUUUCUUUUAAAAGAUGGCUCUGCUAUCACUUCUGGAUGGACCCGCGGCGCAUUAGCUAGUUGGUGAGGUAACGGCUCACCAAGGCGAUGAUGCGUAGCCGACCUGAGAGGGUAAUCGGCCACAUUGGGACUGAGACACGGCCCAGACUCCUACGGGAGGCAGCAGUAGGGAAUCUUCCACAAUGGACGCAAGUCUGAUGGAGCAACGCCGCGUGAGUGAAGAAGGGUUUCGGCUCGUAAAGCUCUGUUGUUAAAGAAGAACGUGGGUGAGAGUAACUGUUCACCCAGUGACGGUAUUUAACCAGAAAGCCACGGCUAACUACGUGCCAGCAGCCGCGGUAAUACGUAGGUGGCAAGCGUUAUCCGGAUUUAUUGGGCGUAAAGCGAGCGCAGGCGGUCUUUUAAGUCUAAUGUGAAAGCCUUCGGCUCAACCGAAGAAGUGCAUUGGAAACUGGGAGACUUGAGUGCAGAAGAGGACAGUGGAACUCCAUGUGUAGCGGUGAAAUGCGUAGAUAUAUGGAAGAACACCAGUGGCGAAGGCGGCUGUCUGGUCUGUAACUGACGCUGAGGCUCGAAAGCAUGGGUAGCGAACAGGAUUAGAUACCCUGGUAGUCCAUGCCGUAAACGAUGAUUACUAAGUGUUGGAGGGUUUCCGCCCUUCAGUGCUGCAGCUAACGCAUUAAGUAAUCCGCCUGGGGAGUACGACCGCAAGGUUGAAACUCAAAAGAAUUGACGGGGGCCCGCACAAGCGGUGGAGCAUGUGGUUUAAUUCGAAGCUACGCGAAGAACCUUACCAGGUCUUGACAUCUUCUGCCAACCUAAGAGAUUAGGCGUUCCCUUCGGGGACAGAAUGACAGGUGGUGCAUGGUUGUCGUCAGCUCGUGUCGUGAGAUGUUGGGUUAAGUCCCGCAACGAGCGCAACCCUUAUUACUAGUUGCCAGCAUUCAGUUGGGCACUCUAGUGAGACUGCCGGUGACAAACCGGAGGAAGGUGGGGACGACGUCAAAUCAUCAUGCCCCUUAUGACCUGGGCUACACACGUGCUACAAUGGAUGGUACAACGAGUCGCGAAACCGCGAGGUUUAGCUAAUCUCUUAAAACCAUUCUCAGUUCGGACUGUAGGCUGCAACUCGCCUACACGAAGUCGGAAUCGCUAGUAAUCGCGGAUCAGCAUGCCGCGGUGAAUACGUUCCCGGGCCUUGUACACACCGCCCGUCACACCAUGAGAGUUUGUAACACCCAAAGCCGGU